rnacentral:rRNA from 1 species
GACGAACGCUGGCGGCGUGCCUAACACAUGCAAGUCGAACGAGGUCCAAGGGAGCUUGCUCCCUGACGACCUAGUGGCGAACGGGUGAGUAACACGUGAGGAACCUGCCCUGGAGUGGGGAAUAACCCGAGGAAACUCGGGCUAAUACCGCAUACCUUCCGAUGACCGCAUGGUCGACGGAAGAAAGAAUUUCGCUCUGGGAGGGCCUCGCGGCCUAUCAGCUUGUUGGUGGGGUAACGGCCCACCAAGGCAACGACGGGUAGCUGGUUUGAGAGAACGAUCAGCCACACUGGAACUGAGACACGGUCCAGACUCCUACGGGUGGCAG